GUUCAAAAUCAAAUCAUGUUCGAGCACAAGAGAUGGUUCCACCAAGUGCAAUUGAUGCCUGGACUGCUGCUCACAUAAAAAAGGAUGGCCAAUUUGUGAAUAAUACUGCAAAAUCUCUCGAUGAUGAGUUAAAAGAAGAGAGAAGGCAAUGCAUCGAGA